UACGUAGGUGGCGAGCGUUGUCCGGAAUUACUGGGCGUAAAGGAUGCGUAGGUGGAUAUUUAAGUGGGAUGUGAAAUCCCCGGGCUCAACCCGGGAACUGCAUUCCAAACUGGGUAUCUAGAGUGCAGGAGAGGAAAGCGGAAUUCCUAGUGUAGCGGUGAAAUGCGUAGAUAUUAGGAGGAACACCAGUGGCGAAGGCGGCUUUCUGGACUGUAACUGACACUGAGGCAUGAAAGCGUGGGUAGCAAAC
rnacentral:rRNA from 1 species